GAUGAACGCUGGCGGCGUGCCUAAUACAUGCAAGUCGAGCGAACGGACGAGAAGCUUGCUUCUCUGAUGUUAGCGGCGGACGGGUGAGUAACACGUGGAUAACCUACCUAUAAGACUGGGAUAACUUCGGGAAACCGGAGCUAAUACCGGAUAAUAUUUUGAACCGCAUGGUUCAACAGUGCAAGACGGUCUUGCUGUCACUUAUAGAUGGAUCCGUGCUGCAUUAGCUAGUUGGUAAGGUAACGGCUUACCAAGGCAACGAUGCAUAGCCGACCUGAGAGGGUGAUCGGCCACACUGGAACUGAGACACGGUCCAGACUCCUACGGGAGGCAGCAGUAGGGAAUCUUCCGCAAUGGGCGAAAGCCUGACGGAGCAACGCCGCGUGAGUGAUGAAGGUCUUCGGAUCGUAAAACUCUGUUAUUAGGGAAGAACAUAUGUGUAAGUAACUGUGCACAUCUUGACGGUACCUAAUCAGAAAGCCACGGCUAACUACGUG
rnacentral:rRNA from 1 species